rnacentral:lncRNA from 1 species
UUUCGGUGUUGGUUCUACAGAAAUUGUUAACAACUUUAUCUGACUAUAUAUUUGAUGCUAUAUUUAAGCAUUGAAACCUACUCGUGCUAUUUUGUAACAGCUGUCAUUAAGCCAACUAGGUCAAUAAUUAAAAAUUAUAAUUUUAACAAACACAAUUUUGUUCUGUACUUGUAAUGAACGCUUACAUAGUUUACUUCCUAUUAUAACAAAUUAGAAUUCUAAAAUAUAAGUAACAUCUACUAAAACAAUCAGAUUCUAAAUAUGUAUUAUCUUUAAAAUGUUAAGUGAUGAUCCACUUCUUAUAUUUCACAAUGGCCUAGAAUAUCAAGAUGCAACAAAGAUAGAUAACUUGUCACUUGUUGAUUUUACUUAAACAUUACUGCAGAUCGACAGUUGAUAGUAUUGAAACACGUGGUGAUGACGUUACCGUUGAUUAUAAAAUUCAUCUUUUUAAACGACAUGGCACACAAAUUAACAGACAGGUUGACGUUUUGCAUACUGCACCCUCUCGAAGAUUAAACGGGUUCGUUUUUGCAUACUGCAGUUGGAAUUAUUGAUAUAUAUUCUUUUCGUAAUCUUUGAAUUAUACAUUUUAUUCCGAUAUUUAAACUCAUAUUGAUUCAUUGAUAUGCUUUAUUCCUUAUAGUUAGAUAACGUGAGAAUAUUUUAUAGUCAUUUUCUUUGAAGGUUCAAGUACGUAAAUGGACGAUAAAACCCAUGUCUUUCAAAACAAGGAAUGAUAAACUGCACAAUGAUACCAGAAAAGGAUAUAUGUAACUUUU